rnacentral:rRNA from 1 species
GACGAACGCUGGCGGCGUGCUUAACACAUGCAAGUCGAACGGAAAGGCCCUGCUUUUGUGGGGUGCUCGAUUGGCGAACGGGUGAGUAACACGUGAGUAACCUGCCCUUGACUUUGGGAUAACUUCAGGAGACUGGGGCUAAUACCGGAUAGGAUCUCCUGCUGCAUGGUGGUGGUUGGAAAGUUUCGGCGGUUGGGGCUGGACUCGCGGCUUAUCAGCUGGUUGGUGGGGUAGUGGCUUACCAAGGCUUUGACGGGUAGCCGGCCUGAGAGGGUGACCGGCCACAUUGGGACUGAGAUACGGCCCAGACUCCUACGGGAGGCAGCAGUGGGGAAUAUUGCGCAAUGGGCGGAAGCGUGAUGCAGCAACGCCGCGUGCGGGAUGACGGCUUUCGGGUUGUAAACCGCUUUCGCCUGUGAUGAAGCGUGAGUGACGGUAAUGGGUAAGGAAGCACCGGCUAACUACGUG